rnacentral:rRNA from 1 species
GACGUAGGGUGCAAGCGUUGUCCGGAAUUAUUGGGCGUAAAGAGCUCGUAGGCGGUCUGGCGCGUCGGCUGUGAAAACCCGGGGCUCAACCCCGGGCCUGCAUUCGAUACGGGCAGACUAGAGUGCGGUAGGGGAGACUGGAAUUCCUGGUGUAGCGGUGAAAUGCGCAGAUAUCAGGAGGAACACCGGUGGCGAAGGCGGGUCUCUGGGCCGUAACUGAUGCUGAGGAGCGAAAGCGUGGGGAGCAAACAGG